GCAGGCCCAGCGCGCCACCAUGGAGCGACAGCCCCGGCGGCCGCUGGGACCGCUGCAGCAGCAGAGGCAUCCGAGGAGGAACGGGGGCUGAAGCCGUGGCCUCCGGGUAGUGGGCCCGUGAACACCCGCCGUCCCCGAGCCCCGACUCCUCCUCCCUGCCUUCCCGGGCGCAGGCGGUGACCCUGCCGGACGAUGCGCGUCCCCGGCCGCCCCCGGGGCUGAGCCCGCCGCCCCGCGCUCGGCCCUCGCCCUCGCCGUCGUCCUCCAUGGCCUUACCGGGCGCCGAGGUCGCGGCUGACAGGCCGGGGUCGCCGGCGCCGGGCGCCCCCGCCGGCUCCGCGUCGUCGUCGUCCGCCUCCUCCGGCGGCUCGGCCUCGGCCUCGGCCUCGGCGGGAGCAGGGCUGUGGGCCGCGCUGUACGACUACGAGGCGCGCGGCGAGGACGAGCUGAGCCUGCGACGCGGCCAGCUGGUGGAGGUGCUGUCCCAGGACUCCGCCGUGUCGGGCGACGAGGGCUGGUGGGCCGGCCAGGUGCAGCGGCGCCUCGGCAUCUUCCCCGCCAACUACGUGGCGCCGUGCCGCCCGGCCACCCGCCCCGCGCCGCCGCCCGGCCGGCCGCCGCCGCCGCGGCCCGGCUCGCCGGUGCACGUCGACUUCGAGAGGCUGGAGCUCCAGGAGCUCAUCGGCGCUGGGGGUUUUGGGCAGGUGUACCGCGCCACCUGGCAGGGCCAGGAGGUGGCGGUGAAGGCGGCGCGCCGGGACCCGGACCAGGACGCGGCGGCGGCGGCCGAGAGCGUGCGGCGCGAGGCCCGGCUCUUCGCCAUGCUGCGGCACCCCAAUAUCAUCGAGCUGCGCGGCGUGUGCCUGCGGCAGCCGCACCUCUGCCUGGUGCUCGAGUUCGCCCGCGGCGGAGCGCUCAACCGCGCGCUGGCCGCCGCCAACGCCGCCCCGGACCCCCGCGCGCCCGGGCCGCGCCGCGCGCGCCGCAUCCCCCCGCACGUGCUGGUCAACUGGGCGGUGCAGAUCGCGCGGGGCAUGCUCUACCUGCACGAGGAGGCCGUCGUGCCCAUCCUGCACCGGGACCUCAAGUCCAGCAACAUAUUGCUGCUGGAGAAGAUAGAGCAUGAUGACGUCUGCAAUAAGACGUUGAAGAUUACAGAUUUUGGGUUAGCAAGAGAGUGGCACAGGACCACCAGGAUGAGCGCAGCAGGCACCUAUGCCUGGAUGGCCCCGGAAGUCAUCAAGUCCUCUUUGUUCUCCAAGGGAAGCGACAUCUGGAGCUAUGGAGUGGUGCUGUGGGAACUGCUCACGGGAGAGGUCCCCUAUCGUGGCAUUGACGGUCUUGCUGUGGCCUACGGGGUGGCAGUCAAUAAGCUCACUUUGCCCAUUCCUUCCACCUGCCCUGAGCCGUUUGCCAAGCUCAUGAAAGAAUGCUGGCAACAGGACCCUCAUAUUCGUCCAUCAUUUGCCUUAAUUCUUGAACAAUUGACUGCAAUUGAAAAGGCAGUUAUGACUGAAAUGCCUCAAGAAUCUUUUCAUUCCAUGCAAGAUGACUGGAAGCUGGAAAUUCAACAGAUGUUUGAUGAGUUGAGAACAAAGGAAAAGGAGCUGCGGUCCCGGGAGGAAGAGCUGACGCGGGCCGCCCUGCAGCAGAAGUCACAGGAGGAGCUGCUCAGGCGGCGGGAGCAGCAGCUGGCCGCGCGGGAGAUCGACGUGCUGGAGCGCGAGCUCAACAUCCUCAUCUUCCAGCUGAGCCAGGAGAGGCCCAACGUCAAGAAGAGGAAGGGCAAGUUUAAGAGGAGCCGCCUGAAGCUCAAAGACGGGCGUCGGAUCAGUUUACCUUCAGAUUUCCAGCACAAAAUAACCGUGCAGGCCUCCCCCAACUUGGACAAACGGAGGAGCCUGAACAGCAGCAGCUUCAGUACACCGAGCAGCCCCACGGUGAUCCCCCGACUCCGGGCCAUACAGCUGACCUCAGAUGAAAGCAAUAAAACUUGGGGCAGGAACACGGUCUGUCGACAAGAAGAAUUUGAAGAUGUAAAAAGGAAUUUCAAGAAAAAGGGUUGUACCUGGGGUCCAAAUUCCAUUCAAAUGAAAGAAAGAACUGACUGCAAAGAAAGAAUAAGACCUCUCUCAGAUGGCAACAGUCCUUGGUCAACCAUCUUAAUAAAAAAUCAGAAAACCGUGCCGUUGGCUUCAUUAUUUGUGGACCAGUCAGGGGCAUGUGAAGAGCCACAACUUGCCCCAGACGGAUUGGAACACAGGAAACCAAAGCAGAUAAAAUCACCGAGUCAAGCCUACAUCGAUCUCCCUCUUUGGAAAGAUGGCCAGAGAGAGAAUCUGGUGGAACCCGAAAGCUGGGAGGAGAGAACCCCGGUGAGCCCUGCCACCAGCAUUCCUCAGGGGACCCCUCCGAACAGUCUGAGCAGAUCCCCCCAGAGGAAGAAGACAGAGUCUGCUCUGUACGGCUGCACCGUGCUGCUGGCGUCGGUGGCUCUGGGCCUGGACAUCAGAGAGCUCGCGAAAGCACAGGCUGCUGAAGACCCGUUGCCCAAGGAAGAAAGGAAGAAACGCGAGGGCAUCUUCCAGCGGGCGCCUAAGUCCCGGAGCAGUGCCAGCUCCGCCACUAGGCUGCCAGCCGCAGGCGAGGGGACCAGCAGCCCAUCCCCGCUCCCUCCGUCCAGCGCCGUGAACCUCCUGUCCAUGCCUUCUCUCUCCACCAAGUGCCUGCUGCAGACUGAUGGCGAAGAUUCCUUCGAGAGCAGCACACACGUCCCUUGUGACCCCAAGGUGCCCAUUCCGGAUCCUUGCCCUGCCUUUGGAAGGAGGGAUCAGGAGUCAACCCCCGUGCCAGGACUGGAGACCCAUCGUGGUGUGUGGGGAAACCUGUCUCCUCCCUUCACGGUUCCAGCACGUGCGGACGCAUCUUACGCUGCUUCUUCAAAAGAAAGAGCAGCACAUCACCGACGGACCAUGUCUGAUGGAAGUGCUUCUCAGCCCCCAGCUGGUGCAGCUCUCAUCUCAGCCCCCGGAGCCUCUCAGCUGCCCCCUGAGUGGGUUUGGGGGACGUCCCCCUCGCCGCCUGGACCCCAUAGUGACCUGCCAAGUGAGGUCCCACCCGAAAAACAGAGAGCUGUCCAUAUGAUGCCUCUGCCCCGUCCUCCCCACCUAAGAAGCCAGCAUUUUUACCAUGGUCUGUGUUGAUGUGGAUCUCUGCAUAUAUCGUACUUGGAGUUUGUUUAAUUUCUUGGAUGUGUAGAUGUUUUCCAGCAAAGUUAAGGAUGCUGGAUGGGUCAGAUGAGGAAGGCAAAGAGAAGAAACCUGAAGAAGGCUUUCCGGGAAAGAGUGAGAAAUGCAGAAGGUGAUGGAAAGAGGACGGAUGGCUCACCUAGGUAAGAAACAUCCAGAAGAUUACAAGGCAAUGGAAGAUAACAUAAACUCCCCAAAUAUCUUCCCUUAAUCCAUAACAAUUUUUUUAAAUUUAUUUAUUUAAUUUAUUUAUGUUUGGCUAUGUUGGGUCUUCGUUGCUGUGUGUGGGCUUUCUCUAGUUGCGGCGAGCGGAGACUACUCUUCUUUGUGGUGCAUGGGCUUCUCAUUGUGGUGGCUUCUCUUGUUGCGGAGCAUGGGCUCUUGGUGCACGGGCUUCAGUAGUUGUGGCACACAGGCUCAGUAAUUGUGGCACGCAGGCUCAGUAGUUGUGGCACACGGGUUUAGUUGCUCCACAGCAUGUGAGAUCCUCCCGGACCAGGGCUCAAACCCACGUCCCCUGCGUUGGCAGGUGGAUUCUUAACCACUGCACCACCAGGGAAGCCCAAUAACAACUUUUAAAGAACUAAAUACUAAAAACUUUUUUAAGAACAUAAAGCUAAACUUUUCAGGCUAAUAUUGUCUCAGAAUUACGGCAUUCCCUAGAGCUAUCAGCACUUCUUUCCCUCCUAACUGGAAGUGGAUGCUCAACAAUUUUAUUCAAAGGAGCAGCCCUAUUGAGUUCUGCCUCCCUGGGAAAUCCCAAGGGCGUCAAAGGAGUCAAAGGAAUGAGCAUGACCAUGACCCAGAGCACGCCCCUACUCAUUACUCUUCCUCCUUUCUGUGCUUUGCUACAGUGUGAAGGAAGAUACAGCAUAAAGGCACAAACCAGACAUGGUUCUGCAUAUGCCUAAAACCAGAGGACAGGGAACUAAUAUUAUAUUUUGCCAUUAUCUGAUCUUAGACAUUCUGGUUAAUUUUCUAACCUCAGUGGCCAUCUAGCCUCUUGCCACUCCCUUACCAGUGGUGUGUGGACCCGUGUCUACAAUGUCAUUUCCCUCCGGUGUCAGUUCAUCCUGGCACUGUUCGUUUAGUGGCAGGAGAAAGCCCCAGAGCACAUCUGUAGAGAUAGCCAGAAACAGAUCGCUGAUGAGGACAUGUACGUAGGAGGUAGUUUUCUCCUUCUGGAGCACUGUCUCUCCAGGAGGUUUUAACUUAGUCUAUUAAGGAAUGUUUUCCACAGGAAAUACAUACCCAAUGUUAUUACAUAAGUCUGUAGGAAAACAUGUUAUUUGAAAAAGAGGGCUUCCCUGGUGGCGCAGUGGUUAAGAAUCCACCUGCCAAUGCAGGGGACUUGGGUUCGAGCCCUGGUCCAGGAGGAUCCCACAUGCCGCGGAGCAACUAAGCCCGUGAGCCACAACUACUGAGCCCGUGUGCCACAACUACAGAAGCCCGCACACCUGGAGCCCGUGCUCCGCAAUAAGAGAAGUCACUGCAAUGAGAAGCCCGGGCACCGCAAAGAAGAGUAGCCCGCUCACCACAACUAGAGAAAGCCCUCGCGCAGCAACGAAGACCCAAUGCAGCCAAAAAUAAAGAAAAGAAAAGAAAAAAGAAAAACAGAUUCCCCUACAAGAAUACAUUUUUUUUAAGUAAGUUUGAUCAUGUGACUUGGUUGUGGGACAGCUCUAAAACUAGAAAAAUCUCUACAUUUUCUGGUUUAAUAAGUAUUGAAUUUUUCAAUAAACCAGGCCUUUUUCUCUGGAACAGGUCAUUAUUUCUAGAGGUAUAAACAUGAGUCAAAUCAAUGGAGUUGGUCAUAAUUUUUCCUCCAAUCUGUAUUUUGCCCAAACUCAGCUGUUUCAAAAAUUGAAGCAUCCUGUUUGCCUUGCUUGCUUUGGGCUUUCUGCUUUCUGGACACUAGAUGGUACUAUAUACAUAUUAUUUCACAAGACAAGGACCACCAACCUAGCUUGGUUAUUUGAAGAAUUACAGCCAUAUACCCUUAGGAGAAAAAGGAAAAAUAAUGGAUGUGAUUUGAGAAAGUAUUAGAAAGAUGAGGAGAGGGGAGGAAAAUGAUUUUCCAGCAACAGUUACAGAGAAACAAGAAGAUGAUCUUCACUUUUUUUUAUUUUAUUGAAGUGCAGUUGAUUUACAAUGUUAUGUUAAUUUCUUCUGUAGAGCAAAGUGACUCAGUUAAACAUAUAUAUUAUUAUAUCUAUAUUAUAUACUUUUUCAUAUUCUUUUCCAUUAUGGUUUGUCACAGGACAUUGACUAUAGCUCCCUGUGCUAUAUACAAGGAUGAUCUUUAUAAAGUGAUCUUUUUUUAUACAUCUGUUCCAAAGAGGGAGACAAGCAAGGAGCUUCAGAGCCGUAAGCUAGGUCAAAUCUCCAAAUGUGUAUCUCCAGCAUAGGCAGGAUUGAAUCAAAUGUCUCGAGUACUAGGUGUCCCACCAUCAUUAGACACUGAAAACAGAAUUCUGUUUUCAGUGUUCUCAGAGCCAAGGUAUCAACAUAACACAGUCCUGACUAUGUCGUUGGAGGUCUGAAUCUAACCACGUCCGAAGUUAGCCCUACAGCAAGAAUUUUCAGUUGUGUGAUCCAAUGUGUUCCCUUUUCACUUAAGCCAGCUUGAGUGUGUUGUACUCUGGCAACUGCAAGCACAUUUGCAGGGCUAUAUCUGAUGAACUGGGAUGAACAGAGAACAAACUGGACAGAGUAAACAGUCAACAUACACAUGCAGGAGUGAGUUAUGCUUAUGUUUAUAACUUGGGUCAAGUGUUCAAAUGUGACAAAAUUAUUCUCUUCAGAAAAAUAGAUGCUCAGGAUAUCCCAUUAGCUGCAGCAGGAGUCUUAAAGUGAUGCUAGAUAUUAUAGGCUAGUAGAUAGUAAGACGAAUUGCUAAAGAGAUUCUGCAGGUUUGGCACAAAAUGCUCAGCUAUAUUCUAUGUGGAUAAUUUGAUAGGAUUCUAUAAGAUCAUCUUGCUGAUGAACUUUCUCUCUUACAUAGGAAUGCUUCAGAGUUACUCCGUCCAAAUAAAGGAUUUUCUCAUCUUUGAAGAUUCUUUGUAGGUGUUAACUUUCCCCGUGGUAGCAAUAGUCACGAAGCUGGAGUCAUAAUUUGUGAACUCUGGGUCUGCUCUAGAGAUGAAUUUCAACAGAACACUCAGGCUUCUUUAAAUGAUAUUUAAUUAGAUAAAUACAUUGAAUUAAAAUAAAAUUUAAUGAAAAUGACAAUCUAAGACAGCCUCAAGGAAACAGAUAAUUCAUUUCUUCUUCUUUAGCAUUUUCAGAGACUGAAUACAGUUAAGAAAUGUAACAGUUAAUUUGUGGUUGUGAUAGCCAAUUUGCAAAUGAAUCGUUAAAAAAAUCAUUUCUUUCAUACUUAAUAGAAAUGAAUUUAGUGAGUUCACAUCCCUAAAGAUAAGGACACUUUUUGGGACUGCCCUGGUGGUGCAGUGGUUAAGAAUCCACCUGCCAAUGCAGGGGACACGGGUUCGAGCCCUGGUCCGGGAAGAUAUGGUCCGGGAAGAUCCCGCAUGCCGCAGAGCAACUAAGCCCGUGCACCACAACUACUGAGCCUGCGCUCUAGAGCCCAUGAGCCACAACUACUGAGCCUCCGUGCCGCAACUGCUGAAGCCCGUGUACCUAGAGCCUGUGUUCUGCAGCAAGAAAAGCCACCUCAAUGAGAAGCCCGCACACCGCAAUGAAGAGUAGCGCCCGCUUGCCUCAACUAGAGAAAGCCCGUGCGCAACGAAGACCCAAUGUGGCCAAAAAUAAAUAAAAUUUAUUUUAAAAAAUAAUAAUAAGGACAUUUUUCAUUCUGAAGCUUGAAAACUCCUUGUUUUCCUUGAAGGUGCCCUAGCUUGCCUCUCUGUGCUUUGUUUAUCUCUGUGAAGACCUCCUCUGAACAGUCUUACCCUGUGAUUCCCCUUCCCUCUCAGGACUUUGCUCCAUCAGUCAGGUCCUUCCUUUUCACAUUUAGUUUCUUUCUAUCUGUUGAGCCUGCAAUGGUUAAUGUUAUAUGCAUCAGCCUGAUUGGGUCACAAAGUGCCCAGAUAUUUGGUCAAACAUUAUCCUGGGUGUUUCUCUCAAUAGAUAGAUGAUAGAUAGAUAGAUAGAUAGAUAGAUAGAUAGAUAGAUAGAUAGAAUAUAUACAUAUAUAUUCUACUGGCUCUGUUUCUCUGAAGAAUCUUGACUAAUACAGGAUCCUUCUCUAUCUUAAAAAGCAAGAAAAAGGAAGAAAAAGAAAAGAAAGAUGAGUGAAUCUUGUUGCCUCUUAGAAAGAUAAAGUAAAAUUUGUCAUCUUAUUGGGCCCCAACACCAUCUCUGGCAGUCAUCUUCCUUUUCCCCAUUUCAACUUCUCUCUUAGGUAUCUGUGGUCUGUGGUCGCUCUCCCACUUCUUAAUUCCUGGCUUUUGGAUCCCUUACAAAUCUGGCUUCUCCCCUCUCCACACAAACUGUAGCCUUGAAGGAAAUCAGUGACCUCUGGAUUGCAAAGGUCUGUAUCCCUUUUCAGUCCUUAUUCUUUUGGCCUCUUCUGUGCUAACAUGGCCAAUGAAAGGUUCCUUUAAAAUUGCAAAAGUUUCCUUUCAGGAAAUUUGAAAAGUUCUGAAAAGUGCAGAGGAGGAAAAACCUCACCUGUAAUCACAAUACUCAGAGAUAACUACUUGUUGGUGUUUUUGGUUCAUCUUCUUCCUAUAUUUUUUCCCAUAGUAUACAUACUGUUUUAGAUCAAAUUUGUGAUCAUACUACAUGUCCUUUGAACAUCUGUUUUCCUUUUACGUUGAAUAUAUUAUGGAUAUUUCUCCAUGCCAAUAAAUAUUCUUCUGCAAUAAUUUUUUUCAUGCCAGCGAAUCUGAUCAUCAUAUUGAUACAUUAAAACUUAUUUUUGGGCUUCCCUGGUGGCGCAGUGGUUGAGAGUCCGCCUGCCGAUGCAGGAGACACGGGUUCGUGUCCCGGUCCGGGAAGAUCCCACAUGCCACGGAGCGGCUGGGCCCGUGAGCCAUGGCCGCUGAGCCUGCGCGUCCAGAGCUUGUGCUCCGCAACGGGAGAGGCCACAACAGU